CAGUGACAUCUAGCAAUAUAUAGUGACAACCCAACAGAACUGAAAUAGAAUCUCUAGGUGUAGUUAAUGUGUGAUGCAAUCCCUCUAUCAUGAGUCCCGAUUAGAUGUCAGAUCAUGAAAAAUCGUCAAACCUCAUCAUCAGUCAUAUGAUAGAUCUGAUCAGCUCAAGUCCAAUAGUGAUUCCAAAUGAAAACUCUUUUUUAUUAAUUACACUGCUGUGGUCAUAGACUUGUGG
rnacentral:lncRNA from 1 species